rnacentral:rRNA from 1 species
AGCUAAUAGAUACCCCGCUAGUCCACGCCCUAAACGAUGUCAACUGGCUUUACGGAGUAUCGACCCUCUGUGAGGCGAAAGCUAACGCGUUAAGUUGACCGCCUGGGUAGUACGACCGCAAGGUUAAAACUCAAAGGAAUAGACGGGGGCUUGCACAAGCGGUGGAGCGUGUGGCUUAAAUUCGUCGCUAAGCGAAGAACCUUACCAGGGCUAGAAAUCCUACUGCACGUCUAGCGAAAGCUAGAAAGCCUUCGAGGGUGUAGGACAGGUGAUGCAUGGCUGUUGUCAGUUCGUGGUUUGAAUCGUUCCCUUCAGUGGGGUAACGAACGCAACCCUCGUUGCCAGUUACAAGUGUCUGGCGAGACUGCCCCCUCACGGGGGAGGAAGGUGAGGAUGACGCCAAGUCAGCAUGUCCCUCUGAUGUCCUGGGCUGCACACGCGCUACAAUCGCCUUUACAAAGGGACGCAAUGCGGUAACGCGGAGCAAAU